UACGUAGGGGGCAAGCGUUGUCCGGAUUUAUUGGGCGUAAAGAGCGUGUAGGCGGUCAGGUAGGUCCGUUGUGAAAACUCGAGGCUCAACCUCGAGACGCCGAUGGAAACCAUCUGACUAGAGUCCGGAAGAGGAGAGUGGAAUUCCUGGUGUAGCGGUGAAAUGCGCAGAUAUCAGGAAGAACACCCGUGGCUAAGGCGGCUCUCUAGUACGGUACUGACGCUGAGACGCGAAAGCGUCGGGAGCGAACAGG
rnacentral:rRNA from 1 species